ACCGCCUAUACUUACUAAAAUUUCGACAACCGCGAAGAACUUAAUUAGUUCCCUCCUUACUUUAAGACUUAGACUACAUAAGGAGAAAAAAAUCAGUCUUCACAUAGAAAAAAAAAUAUUAGAGUCACGGAGAGAACUCUCUCUCGAGAACAAACCCUAAUACCGUCACCGUUACCCUAUCUCCCACUGACGAAACUCUCUGUCGACACCUUGUAGCCCGAUUUCGUGCUCUGUAACUCAAACUCAGUUGAAAAGAGGAGGAUGACCUGAAGUUGUGAACAGAUCCAAGCUCAGUUGAAUCAGACGAGGAAAAAACCCGACUCUCCACCAUCCGCGAGAGGCGAACACAGUUCCGGCGGAGAAGACUGAGGAAUAGGACGACGGCGGUGAAGAUAUAGAUUAUGGUUGAGUAUGUUCCAGAGCAGCCCGAGUUUGAAGAUGGUUUUAACGUUGAGUUCAAGCAAAUCUUUGAGAAGUUUAACUUCAGGGAACCUGUCUGAUUAUCUCUGUUUAAGAGACAGUUUUAGUAUCGUUGAAGUUUAUAAGUUAAAUGAAGAAGUUUUACGGUUGGAGCAGAUUGUAUCUUAAUGGAGGCUUUUCAGAAUUUGAAUAUACUCCUUCUCUUUCUGCUUGCGAGGUUUUGAGAUGCAUCGCUUUGUGUUAAGAGAAGAUCUACACAUCAGAUCCAGACUCUCUGAUUCAUCAUCUGCAAUGGCUCUUGGGUUACUUCAGAUCCUGGUUAUCAAGAAGAAUAUUCAUGAUCGUUCAAUCAUUUUACCCGUGGUGUACAUGAUACUGCUCAUUGGACACCAAACUCUGGAGACAAGACCCUUCAAUACGAUGAAGAGAAAAUGCAGAAACGGUUGGAAUCAUGUUCCUCUAGCACAAGCGCAGUGACUGGUGAAAUGGCUUUACAUUUGGUAAAUGGCACAGACUUAUGUGAUUUGUAUUUCAGAAUCCCGAUCAGAUGCUUCUUGGUCCCAAUGGCUGUGUGGAAAAUGGUACCCCUUCUAAAGAUUUUAGUCGGUGUACUGAAUCCAAACCAGUGGAAUUGUCUGUGUAAAAACCUUAAGAAUUUUUGUAUUUCUGAAUCCUAAUCAUCAGGUUUAUCUUUCUUCCUCUCAUCUAUUUUGGUUUUAUGUUAAAAAAGGAUCAUAUACUUUAUGAACAUAAGCAAAAUUUGUUUUUGUCCCCACUGCUAAGACAGAUCAGUUAACCGGAGUCUGGUUAUCCUUUCCUCUCUGCCUUGCAUAACGGGAGCCUAAUUCCAGCUAUCUUGCAGCGUUCUGGUAUUAUAUAUAUUUUUUUUGUAAAAACAUAAAUGUUAAUGGUACUCCGUUCUUCUUUUUUUUGUUCAUAUUUUCGUAAUCAUGUUGUCUCACAGACCUUUAUUUGGAUUCACGGCUCUAGCUAUAGAAGAUUUGUCUAAUUCGAUAUGAAUACGUUGUUCGUGUGUAUUUAGCUCUUUAGUUAUUGCUGAUUCCAGUUGCAGGUAGGUAUAAAGUGAAUGUGGGUGAUUCAUUAUUAAUUCAAAAGCUCAGACAGCUGAACCGUUUUGAUUGUUUUUUAUAGCUUCUUGGAUUACAAUUUGGGAUAUUAUUAAAGUGCAUCCACUACGCUUUCUCUGAGAGACACAUGCUAAGGCCAAGAAGGAAAAUAGGAGCUCAAGGUUUUGAUUUAGUUCUCAUGUUUUCUUGUCUUUUUAUAUUUAGUUCUGAUAUUGUAACGAUGUUUGUGUAAGAUUUAAUGAAAAUGUUUACAUGUUUGUGGUACUGAUAUAAAAGUACAUUUUGGUUUAUUAAUGAAAUAUAAAUUGAAUAUUA